UUGUUCAGGCAAGAAGUGUUUUGUUCUGUCAAAAGCUAGCAACACCUCGUAUUCACUGAGCGAUGGGACCAGUUGUAAAAAGAAGCACACUAGAUUUCUACGCAACCAGCUUAAUGAUUCAAGAGUAAUGUGUGAUGGAACGGGUAAUUGAUUGCUCAGUUGAAAAAGCAGGAAAGGGGAUAAAAUGCAUUACAUCAAGUGAAUCAAGAAAAUGGCAAGAACAUAUACAGACAUGAUGACAAUGGAAGUAGGCAAAAUCUAUUUGAAUCAGAAUGCUAUUUAGUUUGUGAGCCUGUGUUCUGUGAUGUUGAAAAAUUGUAAUUUUUCUUGUUUCUUUUCCUAGUUAUCAAGGAAUG